rnacentral:rRNA from 1 species
UACGUAGGGGGCAAGCGUUGUCCGGAAUCAUUGGGCGUAAAGAGCGUGUAGGCGGCCAGAUAAGUCCGCUGUGAAAUCUCGAGGCUCAACUUCGAGCUGUCGGUGGAAACUGUCUGGCUAGAGUCCGGAAGAGGAGAAUGGAAUUCCUGGUGUAGCGGUGAAAUGCGCAGAUAUCAGGAAGAACACCCGUGGCGAAGGCGGCUCUCUAGUACGGUACUGACGCUGAGACGCGAAAGCGUGGGGAGCGAACAGG